GUUUUUAUAAUUUAAUUAAAAUAUUAGUUUUGUAAACUAAAAUUAGAAGGAAUUCUUAAAAACA
rnacentral:tRNA from 1 species